AUGGUCGCCGCCCCCGCCCCCGCCCUAACCGCCGCGGACGCGAGGCAGGCCGCGGCGAGGAAGGAGGAGGAGGACGACGAGGAGGUCGUCUGCUUCAUCUGCUUCGACGGGGGAGACCUCGUCGUCUGCGAUUGGAGGUGCGACGCCGCAGUGCGCGACUUCUUCCACGCCUGGAUGGUCAUUGAGCGCGCCCCUCCUGAUUGCAGUCAGUGCCGCCGCCGUCUCCAAGCUGCAGAGUCCCGUUCCUUUCCGCCCUUGCCACACAUGCUGCCAUCUGAAAAAGCAUUUUAUGCUGCUGUAUCUUCCCUUGGCAUCUACAGCAAAGAUGUUUACGAUGGGAAGGGGCUAUUUAGCGCCGCUCGUGUUUGGUGGAUGUUUCGUGCUUAUGGACAUGACAAAGUCUGGGUUUUGGAUGGAGGUUUGCCCCAGUGGCGUGCUUCUGGGUAUGGCGUGGAAUCAAGUGCCUCCAGCGAUGCUAUCUUAAAAGCUAGUGCUGCUAGUGAAGCAAUCGAGAAGGUUUACCAGGGGCAGUCGGACAUGGAUAGAGGAGAUUAUUUUGAAUUAAGUUUGGGCAAAAAAGACCUGGACAGAUCAAAGAAAUACAUCCAGACGUUGCAGGGUGGACUAAGUACCCUUGACGUCUAG
rnacentral:rRNA from 1 species